UGGGAACGUACCCUUUGGUUCGGAACAACCCAGGGAAACUUGGGCUAAUACCGGAUAAGUCCGUAAGGAGAAAGAUUUAUCGCCAAAGGAUCGGCCCGCGUCUGAUUAGCUAGUUGGUAGGGUAAUGGCCUACCAAGGCUACGAUCAGUAGCUGGUCUGAGAGGAUGAUCAGCCACAUUGGGACUGAGACACGGCCCAGACUCCUACGGGAGGCAG
rnacentral:rRNA from 1 species